rnacentral:rRNA from 1 species
UAUACGACCGUACCGCAAACCGACACUGGUGCGCGAGAUGAGUAUUCUAAGGCGCUUGAGAGAACUCAGGAGAAGGAACUCGGCAAAUUGACACCGUAACUUCGGAAGAAGGUGUGCCCUAUUAGUGUGUAGUGAACAACGAAGCAUGAAUGGGUUGCAAAAAAUCGGUGGCUGCGACUGUUUAUUAAAAACACAGCACUCUGCAAACACGAAAGUGGACGUAUAGGGUGUGACGCCUGCCCGGUGCUGGAAGAUUAAAUGAUGGGGUGCAAGCUCUUGAUUGAAGUCCCAGUAAACGGCGGCCGUAACAAUAACGGUCCUAAGGUAGCGAAAUUCCUUGUCGGGUAAGUUCCGACCUGCACGAAUGGCGUAACGAUGGCCACACUGUCUCCUCCUGAGACUCAGCGAAGUUGAAAUGUUUGUGAUGAUGCAAUCUCCCCGCGGAAAGACGGAAAGACCCCAUGAACCUUUACUGUAGCUUUGUAUUGGACUUUGAACAGAUCUGUGUAGGAUAGGUGGGAGGCUUUGAAGCAGGGUCGCUAGAUCUUGUGGAGCCAACGUUGAAAUACCACCCUGGUGUGUUUGAGGUUCUAACCUAGGUCCAUUAUCUGGAUCGGGGACAGUGCAUGGUAGGCAGUUUGACUGGGGCGGUCUCCUCCCAAAGCGUAACGGAGGAGUUCGAAGGUACGCUAGUUACGGUCGGACAUCGUGACGAUAGUGCAAUGGCAUAAGCGUGCUUAACUGCGAGACUGACAAGUCGAGCAGAUGCGAAAGCAGGACAUAGUGAUCCGGUGGUUCUGUAUGGAAGGGCCAUCGCUCAACGGAUAAAAGGUACUCUGGGGAUAACAGGCUGAUACCGCCCAAGAGUUCAUAUCGACGGCGGUGUUUGGCACCUCGAUGUCGGCUCAUCUCAUCCUGGGGCUGUAGCCGGUCCCAAGGGUAUGGCUGUUCGCCAUUUAAAGAGGUACGUGAGCUGGGUUUAAAACGUCGUGAGACAGUUUGGUCCCUAUCUUCCGUGGGCGCUGCAGAUUUGAGGAAGCCUGCUCCUAGUACGAGAGGACCGGAGUGGACACACCUCUGGUGUAUCGGUUGUCACGCCAGUGGCAUUGCCGAGUAGCUAAGUGUGGAAGAGAUAACCGCUGAAAGCAUCUAAGCGGGAAACUCGUUUCAAGAUGAGAUCUGCCGGGGCCUUGAGCCCCCUAAAGAGUCGUUCAAGACCAGGACGUUGAUAGGUCAGGUGUGGAAGCCA